rnacentral:tRNA from 1 species
GGGCCCGUAGCUCAGCUUGGUAGAGCGGCGGGCUCUUAACCCGUAGGUCCCGGGUUCAAAUCCCGGCGGGCCCGCCA